CAGGUAGUUGGCUACAGCAACAAGGAUGACGAACACAGAUGAAUUGAUCAGGUUGUAACCAUUCAAAGUCCAGAGGUUUGAUGCUUCGAAAUCUUUUCCAUCUUUGAUAUUUGCCUUAGUGGCUGCCUC
ensembl:miRNA Mir6390 microRNA 6390